GACAGUUACAAAUGCCUGUUAUACACCUCCCUUCAUCUCAUCCUACAGGCAUUUUAUCAUUUCACAUAGAAAGAAAAGGUUGAGGGGCGCCUGGAUGGCUGGUCUGGUUGAGCAUUCAACUCAAGUCAUGAUCGCAGGGUUGUGAGAUGCAGUCCCACGUGAGCCUCUGGGCUCAGGGCAGGGUCAGCUUGAGAUUCUCUUUCUCCUUCUGUCCCUACCCCCGGCCCCCAACCCCGCCCUGCUUGCACAUGUGCUUUCUAAAUAAAUACAAUCUAAAAAAAAGGUGAGUAAAGUCCAGAAAUAUACUUUAAGAGUGCGAAACCACAUUAAUAUAAAUUUUAUUACAGUGUAUUAUUGGAAUUGUUCUAUUUCAUUAUUAGUUGUUCUUGCCUGGUUUAUAAAGUAAGCUAUAAUUUAUCAUAGCAAUGAAUGUAGAGGGAAAAAAACACUAUAUAUAGAGUUUUAUCUGCAGUUUCAGGCAUCUUCUGGGGGGUGUUGGAACGUAUCCCCGGUUGAAAAGGGGAGGCUACUGUAGUUUAAAUUGUAGUUCAUUUCACAGACCUUUGCUAAACAGCUUUGUGUUUUUCUGCAAAUUCUUAAUUCAGGUGUGAGAACCAUUUAUGUGGGUUUAUGGAUAGGAUUAGGGGGUCCCCUUCUACAGAUCUCCCCUUUUGACACUCAUGUUCUCUCUUUUGCAGAGUAACGUCUUUCUGGCCCUCCUUCCAGAAAUAGGAGAUUUUUCUUGGAGUUCUAGCUGCCUUCCAUAGCUGCAGCUGCUGACUAGGGCCCACACUGGGGCAAAGAGGUAGAUGCUUGCUAAAUAUUCUACUAACUUGAGUGGCAGAGGGCAUGAUCACAGACCCCCUUGACAUGGAAUCUUCAAAGAGAGCAUAUGUGUCGGAUAAACUGACCAAUACAGCACAGUGACAUCACACCGUAACACCUGCUAGGACGUCACUCCCAAGCUCCAAAGCAGGACAAGAGAGAACCAACCAGGAAUCCACAGGGAUACGAAAUUAAGCAGAAAUUGAGGAUUCGACGAUAAAGAACACAAACAGCUGGUUUCAGGAUCUGAACAAAAAGAGUUGGU